AGCUCGUGGUUGAUGUAAAGGUUCCGGAUGCAGCCGUGGAAACCCGACGUGUUGACGGCGCGCGACGACAGCGACAGGGAGGCUGGCACGACCUCCUCGGGAAGGCCUGAUGAACAACGGGGUCACUGAUGGUGUCGUGGUACACACGGCCGCCUUUGGUGCGAGGAGCGUGGGAUCGAUUCCCGCUCAGCGAUGGUGUCGAUAUCUGCCCUACGACUGACUGGUGACCAGUUCAGGGUGUAGUCCGCCUUUCGCCCGAAGCUAGCUGGGAUAGGCUGCAGCUUUCCCGUGACCUUUGGGUUCGUGGCCGGCCCGCACACAUCCAGCUCUUCCUGGCAAAACAGACCUGACCCGCCAAUCACAGCACAAAGAGGGCACGUCGCACAACCUGAUUGACCCGACCCGGGAGUCACGGCGGAGGCGGGACCACGAGCGACG